CUCAAUCACAAACUGAAGCACCAUCCUGCACCCCAAACUCCUCAUACCCAGCCCCACCCCAGACCCUGCACCCCUGGCUGGAGCCCUCCCACACCUUAACCUCCUGU